AGAAUCAACGCUGGCGGCGUGCCUAACACAUGCAAGUCGCACGAGAAAGGGUAGCAAUACCUGAGUAAAGUGGCGCACGGGUGAGUAACACGUGAAUAAUCUACCUCCGAGUGGGGAAUAACUGAGAGAAAUCUUAGCUAAUACCGCAUAACACUUACGAGUCAAAGCAGCAAUGCGCUUGGAGAGGAGUUCGCGGCCGAUUAGUUAGUUGGCGGGGUAAUGGCCCACCAAGACGAUGAUCGGUA
rnacentral:rRNA from 1 species